rnacentral:rRNA from 1 species
CAUCCUUUAAAGAAAGCGUAAUAGCUCACUAGUCGAGUCGGCCUGCGCGGAAGAUAUAUCGGGGCUAAACUGAUAACCGAAGCUGUGGAUGCGCACUUUGUGCGUGUGGUAGAGGAGCGUUCUGUAAGCCGUUGAAGGUGAAUCGUAAGGUUUGCUGGAGGUAUCAGAAGUGCGAAUGCUGACAUGAGUAACGAUAAGGGGGGUGAAAAACCUCCCCGCCGAAAGAUCAAGGUUUCCUGUCCAACGUUAAUCGGGACAGGGUGAGUCGGCCCCUAAGGCGAGGGCGAAAGCCGUAGUCGAUGGAAAAUCGGUUAAAAUUCCGAUACCGAUUCUUACUGCGAUGGAGGGACGGAGAAGGCUAGGCUAGCACGGCGUUGGUUGUCCGUGUUUAAGCGUGUAGGUAGGGGGAUUAGGUAAAUCCGGUUCCUCGUUAAUCUGAGACGUGAUGACGAUCUCUUGGGGCGACCCUUGAGAGAAGUAGUCGAUGCCAUACUUCCAGGAAAAUCUUCUAAGCUUCAGGUAAGAAUUGACCGUACUGUAAACCGACACAGGUGAUCAGGUAGAGAAUACCAAGGCGCUUGAGAGAACUUGGGUGAAGGAACUAGGCAAAAUGGUACCGUAACUUCGGGAGAAGGUACGCUCUCUUUGGUGAUGGGACUUGCUCCCUAAGCUGAGGCGAGUCGAAGUGACCAGGUGGCUGCAACUGUUUAUUAAAAACAUAGCACUCUGCAAACUCGUGAGAGGAAGUAUAGGGUGUGACGCCUGCCCGGUGCCGGAAGGUUAAUUGAUGGGGUUAUCUUCGGAGAAGCUCUUGAUCGAAGCCCCGGUAAACGGCGGCCGUAACUAUAACGGUCCUAAGGUAGCGAAAUUCCUUGUCGGGUAAGUUCCGACCUGCACGAAUGGCGUAAUGAUGGCCACGCUGUCUCCACCCAAGACUCAGUGAAAUUGAAAUCGCUGUUAAGAUGCAGUGUACCCGCGGCUAGACGGAAAGACCCCGUGAACCUUUACUAUAGCUUCACACUGGACUUUGACCUUAUUUGUGUAGGAUAGGUGGGAGACUUUGAAGCGUGAUCGCCAGAUUGCGUGGAGUCAUCCUUGAAAUACCACCCUGGUAAUGUUGAGGUUCUAACUUAGCUCCUGAAACGGGAGUGAGGACAGUGUGUGGUGGGUAGUUUGACUGGGGCGGUCUCCUCCUAAAGAGUAACGGAGGAGCACGAAGGUACCCUAAGAGCGGUCGGAAAUCGCUCGUUUAGUGUAAUGGCAUAAGGGUGCUUGACUGCGAGAGUGACAACUCGAGCAGGUGCGAAAGCAGGUCAUAGUGAUCCGGUGGUUCUGAAUGGAAGGGCCAUCGCUCAACGGAUAAAA